rnacentral:rRNA from 1 species
CAAGGGAGACUGCCGGUGAUAAACCGGAGGAAGGUGGGGAUGACGUCAAGUCAUCAUGGCCCUUACGGCCAGGGCUACACACGUGCUACAAUGGCGCGUACAGAGGGCUGCAAGCUAGCGAUAGUGAGCGAAUCCCAAAAAGCGCGUUGUAGUCCGGAUCGGAGUCUGCAACUGGACUCCGUGAAGUCGGAAUCGCUAGUAAUCGCGAAUCAGAA